UACGAAGGGGGCGAGCGUUGUUCGGAAUUACUGGGCGUAAAGGGCGCGUAGGCGGCGACCCAAGUCAGAUGUGAAAUCCCUCGGCUCAACCGAGGAACUGCGUCCGAUACUGGUUGGCUUGAAUUCGGGAGAGGGAUGCGGAAUUCCAGGUGUAGCGGUGAAAUGCGUAGAUAUCUGGAGGAACACCGGUGGCGAAGGCGGCAUCCUGGACCGAUAUUGACGCUGAUGCGCGAAAGCCAGGGGAGCAAACGGGG
rnacentral:rRNA from 1 species